AAAUCCUGGGUGGGGACAGGGAGCACCCCAAAUCCUGGGUGGGGACAGGGAGCAUCCCAAAUCCUGAGAUGGGGACAUGUGGUGACUGCAGGCACACUGGCCAUUCCCACAGGACCCCCCAGGCGGAUGUGGGUCCCCCCCAGCAGGGCGUUUGCAGCCGCUGUCCCCGGUGUGUGGCCCAGAGCCCCGUCCAGCCCUGCCCUGCUGUCACUCCCGUCGCCCACGGGGCAGCGGCCGUGCCGGAGCGCGGCCCCGCGCAGGCACACCGGGGAUCCCCGGGGCUCACCCGUGCGUCCCGCUGUCCGUCUGUCCCCAGGGCUCGGCUACCCCCUGUUCCCCGCCGCCAGCCUGGGCCGCGCCCUGGCCACCAAGACGCCGCCGCCACUGUUCCUGGGGACCGAGGGCCGGCGCGGGGACAGCCAGGGCGGCCUGGCCGGCGGCCGGAGCGCCGGCACCGCGGCGCGGCCGCUGUACCCCGCCCUGCAGACGCUGAGCCCGGGCAGCUCCGGCCUCCCGAGCCACGGCCUGGCCGGAUUCCCCUUCCUCAGCCCGGCCCUGGCGGGUGAGUGGCGCUGCCCCAGCCUUGUCCCCUCCCUGGUCACCCCCUCCCACUCACUCUGUGCUCCCACCCCGCAGAUUUUGGGCCUGGGGAGGUCCCGGCGCCCCCCGGAUUCCUGCAGCCCCCCCAGGCCUGGCAGCACCCCCGGGACGUGGCAGUGCUGGGGGCCAGCAGCCGGAUGGUCCCCGCGGAGGAGCCAG
rnacentral:lncRNA from 1 species